rnacentral:rRNA from 1 species
GACGAACGCUGGCGGCGUGCUUAACACAUGCAAGUCGAACGGUGAAGCGCCUUCCUUUUUGGUGGGUGUGGAUGAGUGGCGAACGGGUGAGUAACACGUGAGUAACCUGCCCCCUUCUUCUGGAUAACCGCAUGAAAGUGUGGCUAAUACGGGAUAUUCUGGGUCUGUCGCAUGAUGGGUCUGGGAAAGAUAUUGUUUCGGUGGGGGAUGGGCUCGCGGCCUAUCAGCUUGUUGGUGGGGUGAUGGCCUACCAAGGCGGUGACGGGUAGCCGGCCUGAGAGGGUGGACGGUCACACUGGGACUGAGACACGGCCCAGACUCCUACGGGAGGCAGCAGUGGGGAAUAUUGCAGAAUGGGCGCAAGCCUGAUGCAGCGACGCCGCGUGAGGGAUGGAGGCCUUCGGGUUGUGAACCUCUUUCGCCAGUGAAGCAGGCCUGCCUCGUUUGUGGGUGGGUUGACGGUAGCUGGAUAAGAAGCGCCGGCUAACUACGUG